UGAGGGAUCGUCCAACGGCAGGACACCUGGCUCUGACCCAGGGAAUCAUGGUUCGAAUCCAUGUCCCUCAG
rnacentral:tRNA from 1 species